UAGGUGAACCUGCGGAAGGAUCAUUGUCGAAUCCUACAAACACAAACGACCGGCGAACUUGUUAAACAACGCGGGGUCGGGACGCGGGCGGCAGCGAUGCCCCCCCAUCCCGGCCCAAAGUCGGGGCGCGAGCCUCGCAAAACCGAACCCCGGCGCGGAAUGCGCCAAGGAAUACCUAAGACGAGGGCCUUCCCCUCCACGCCCCGUCCGCGGAGCGCGGGGAGGGGCAACGGCUUCUUUUCGAAUGAAAAACGACUCUCGGCAACGGAUAUCUAGGCUCUCGCAUCGAUGAAGGACGUAGCAAAAUGCGAUACUUGGUGUGAAUUGCAGAAUCCCGUGAAUCAUCGAGUCUUUGAACGCAAGUUGCGCCCGAAGCCGUCAGGCCGAGGGCACGUCUGCCUGGGCGUCACGCAUCGCGUCGCCCCCGCACUCCCCGCCCGACGAGGGCGCGACUAGUGCGCGGGGGCGGAAUGUGGCCUCCCGUGCCCCCUAUCCCGGCGCGGUUGGCCGAAAUUCGAGUCCGGGGCAAAGGACGUCACGACGAGUGGUGGUUGUCUAUCUCAACUCUCGUGCUGUCGUGCCGUGUCCUGUCGCCCGACCUGGACUGACGAGACCCUGACGCGCCUGUCUCUUCCCAACGGGACGAGCCAUGCGUUAC
rnacentral:rRNA from 1 species